rnacentral:rRNA from 1 species
AUUGAACGCUGGCGGCAUGCCUUACACAUGCAAGUCGAACGGCAGCACGGGAGCAAUCCUGGUGGCGAGUGGCGAACGGGUGAGUAAAGUAUCGGAACGUGCCCAGUCGUGGGGGAUAACGUAGCGAAAGUUACGCUAAUACCGCAUACGAUCUCUGGAUGAAAGCGGGGGAUCGCAAGACCUCGCGCGAUUGGCGCGUCCGAUAUCAGCAUAGGUAGUUGGUGUGGUAAAGGCUCACCAAGCCGACGAUCUGUAGCUGGUCUGAGAGGACGACCAGCCACACUGGGACUGAGACACGGCCCAGACUCCUACGGGAGGCAGCAGUGGGGAAUAUUGGACAAUGGGCGAAAGCCUGAUCCAGCCAUGCCGCGUGCAGGAUGAAGGCCUUCGGGUUGUAAACUGCUUUUGUACGGAACGAAAAGGUUUGGGCUAAUAAGCUGAGCUCAUGACGGUACCGUAAGAAUAAGCACCGGCUAGCUACGUGCCAGCAGCCGCAGUAA